UACGGAGGGAGCAAGCGUUACUCGGAAUUAUUGGGCGGAAAGGGCGCGUAGGCGAUUUGAAAAGUCUUGUGUGAAAGCCCCGAGCUUAACUCGGGAAGUGCACAAGAAACUGUUGAAUUUGAGUUCCGGAGAGGAAGGCAGAAUUCCCGGUGUAGCGGUGAAAUGCGUAGAUAUCGGGAGGAAUACCAGUGGCGAAGGCGGCCUUCUGGACGGAUACUGACGCUGAGGCGCGAAAGCCAGGGGAGCAAACGGG
rnacentral:rRNA from 1 species